CAUCAGCUCCUGGAAACAAAUGCACUUAACCAGAAAAACAGGGACAUCAACCAGCAAAGAUGCAUCCUCAUUUAAUAGAGCUUGAAAUUACUAUAAUCUGUAAAGUACAGCGAGAAGAAGAAGUUUCACCUGCCUGCACAUCUGUCGUUGACUCUCCAUCUGACUUGGAGGGACUCUGAGGGACCAACCUGAGCCUGAGAAGAGGCAAGAUUCCCCUUCAAGGACACACUGGGAACUUACGGACCUCUUUCUCCAUGGUGCAGAGCGCAGAGGUGAACAAACAGACGCAUAAUAGCUCUUGAGCUUGCCAUUGGGAAGUGAAAAUCAACUGCUUGAAUAAAUGUAAGGACUCAGAACACCAGACAUGGGUGCUCCAAUCCACGUAGUGUUGAGGCAGUGAAGUUUGUGUUCCAGGAACUUCAGAACUCCUGAAUGUAUUGGUGUUGAUAAAAGGUAGACAUCACCUUGUGACUCAACAGCAGCCAAUAAGAUGGAAAUAAAGGCCAUGAAGUUAUCGGAUGGCAUCUACAAGGAAUACUUAGAUGAGGAGGUGACUCUGGUAGCAAUUGUUCUUUUGUCUUUCUCACCUUCCUUCUUGUCCUGUCUGGGAUGCUGAAGUGAUGGCUGGUAUACAGAUGCCCUGUUGUGAUGUUGAGAUAAACAUGAGAAUAAAAGUCGGCGAUUACAGAUGGCAGAGAAGAGAGAGAAAGAUAGGAUGUAGGUGGAUAUUGACGGAACUAAGUUUCUAUUGCACAAGUUCUACCACCAACCUCUGGACUUCAUGAUAUGUGAGGGAGAAAUAAACUCCUAUUUUAGAAGAGAUCUAUGUUACCUGCAACUGAACGGAAUGCUUAAUUGGCACAUCCUAUGUGCUCCAAACCUUCCUUAAUUUCUGUGUGUAAGGCAUACUUAGUCUUUACCCAUUAUUCUGUUCACAUUCAUUCACUUGAUCAGCCUCCCAACUCUAUGGUAAAGAGUUUACUACAGUUUACUCUAUUAGUAAGGGAGAUUCUGGAGCAAGCCCCACAAAUCAUAGAUUGAAUACCCAUUCAUUAAGAGAGAGAUUUAAAGAUACUUCUAUCCAAACACAUUUUAAAUUUCCAGCACCUUUGAGGUGGUGGAGGUUCAUGGUGGUUGAUAGGGUUUAAAUGACUUGUGAUUCAAGCUCCAUAUUACAAUGUAACAGUGCAAAAGUUCAUUUUUUUAAAUUUAUUUUACUUUAAGUUCUGGUAUACAUGUGUAGAACAUGCGGGUUUGUUACAUAGGUAUACAUGUGCCAUGGUGGUUUGCUGCACCUAUCAAACCGUCACCUAGGUUUUAAGAACCACAUGCAUUAGGUAUUUGACCUAAUGCUCUCCCUCAUGUUGCCCCCCAACUCCCUGACAGGGCCCAGUGUGUGAUGUUCCCCUCCCUGUGUCCAUGUGUUCUCAUUGUUCAACUCCCACUUAUGAGUGAGAACAUGUGGUGUUUGAUUUUCUGUUCCUGUGUUAGUUUGCUGAGAAUGAUGGCUUCCAGCUUCAUCCAUGUCCCUGCAAAGGACACGAACUCAUUCUUUUUUAUGGCUUCAUAAUAUUCCAUGAGUCUGGAUUUGGUUACAGAUAGAGCUGGACAAGCCUUAGCUAUAUCUAAUGGCUUUUGACAUGUUAUAUCAAUUUCUUACUGCUUUUGUAAAUGAAUAUAUUAAGAAGAAAAAAUUACAAAUGACCCUUUCUUCACAAACUUUUAGGGUAAUCAAGUUCAGUUAUUAAAAAAUGGAUGUUUGCAACAUUCAUAGUAAUUAUUUUCAGAAAAUUAAAAAUGAUUAAAAAUUAUAUUUUCAUCCCAUUCAGAUAUUAUAUAUUUAACUGUGAGAUAAUUCUCAGAGAUAAAUGUCAACUUUUAAAAAAUGCUAAAUAAAUUAAAUCAAAAUAUCCCCUCUAAAAUAAAUAAAUUAGCUCCGAUUAUUUCUUCUUUUUAAAUUUUUCCUUAUAGUUGUAAAAAUAAAGUGAACGUUUUGGCUCAUUUCCUCAUUAAAGUUUGAAUUUUCCAGUC
rnacentral:lncRNA from 1 species